rnacentral:rRNA from 1 species
CCUAAGGGAGGCUGCAGUGGGGAAUAUUGGACAAUGGGGGCAACCCUGAUCCAGCCAUGCCGCGUGUGUGAAGAAGGCCCUCGGGUUGUAAAGCACUUUCAGUGAGGAAGAACGCCUGGUGGUUAAUACCCAUCAGGAAAGACAUCACUCACAGAAGAAGCACCGGCUAACUCCGUGCCAGCAGCCGCGGUAAUACGGAGGGUGCGAGCGUUAAUCGGAAUUACUGGGCGUAAAGCGCGCGUAGGUGGCUUGAUAAGCCGGUUGUGAAAGCACCGGGCUCAACCUGGGAACGGCAUCCGGAACUGUCAAGCUAGAGUGCAGGAGAGGAAGGUAGAAUUCCCGGUGUAGCGGUGAAAUGCGUAGAGAUCGGGAGGAAUACCAGUGGCGAAGGCGGCCUUCUGGACUGACACUGACACUGAGGUGCGAAAGCGUGGGUAGCAAACAGGAUUAGAUACCCUGGUAGUC